rnacentral:rRNA from 1 species
CGUAGGUAAUCUACCUUUGAUGGGGAAUAACAGUCGGAAACGACUGCUAAUACCGCAUAAUGCAGCGGCAUCUAUGAUGACAGUUGUUAAAGGAGCAAUCCGCUUAAAGAGGAGCCUGCGGCAGAUUAGCUAGUUGGUAAGGUAAUGGCUUACCAAGGCUACGAUCUGUAACCGACCUGAGAGGGUGGUCGGUCACACUGACACUGAAUAACGGGUCAG